GCCCUUCGGGGUGGAUUAGUGGCGAACGGGUGAGUAACACGUGGGCAAUCUGCCCUUCACUCUGGGACAAGCCCUGGAAACGGGGUCUAAUACCGGAUACCACUCCUGCCUGCAUGGGCGGGGGUUGAAAGCUCCGGCGGUGAAGGAUGAGCCCGCGGCCUAUCAGCUUGUUGGUGGGGUAAUGGCCUACCAAGGCGACGACGGGUAGCCGGCCUGAGAGGGCGACCGGCCACACUGGGACUGAGACACGGCCCAGACUCCUACGGGAGGCAGCAGUGGGGAAUAUUGCACAAUGGGCGAAAGCCUGAUGCAGCGACGCCGCGUGAGGGAUGACGGCCUUCGGGUUGUAAACCUCUUUCAGCAGGGAAGAAGCGAAAGUGACGGUACCUGCAGAAGAAGCGCCGGCUAACUACGUGCCAGCAGCCGCGGUAAUACGUAGGGCGCAAGCGUUGUCCGGAAUUAUUGGGCGUAAAGAGCUCGUAGGCGGCUUGUCACGUCGGAUGUGAAAGCCCGAGGCUUAACCUCGGGUCUGCAUUCGAUACGGGCUAGCUAGAGUGUGGUAGGGGAGAUCGGAAUUCCUGGUGUAGCGGUGAAAUGCGCAGAUAUCAGGAGGAACACCGGUGGCGAAGGCGGAUCUCUGGGCCAUUACUGACGCUGAGGAGCGAAAGCGUGGGGAGCGAACAGGAUUAGAUACCCUGGUAGUCCACGCCGUAAACGUUGGGAACUAGGUGUUGGCGACAUUCCACGUCGUCGGUGCCGCAGCUAACGCAUUAAGUUCCCCGCCUGGGGAGUACGGCCGCAAGGCUAAAAC
rnacentral:rRNA from 1 species